GGGGGAGUACCCAAGUACGGCUGAAGGGAGCGGCCUCGAAAGCCGCCAGGCGGUAUUUAUGCCGCGCGGGGGUUCGAAUCCCUCCUCCUCCGCCA
rnacentral:tRNA from 2 species